CGGGCCCUGAGGGCGGAGACACGCGCGGAGGCCGGCCCGCUGCCUGGCCGUGCAGAGCUGUGUGUCUUCAGCAAGUCGCCCAGUGUCCUCAGUAAGAGACCAGUUCCUUUACAAGCAAGAACCCUGUGGGCGCCCCUGCCCGGGACCUGGAAGAAUGAGGUCGCACAGGUGUCAGUCCUAUUCCGUGUCCUUCAGAAGGUUGGGUUGAGGGAAGGAUGGUCCAUAGCCUCCACUGAGUUUCAUCCACAAACCUUUCCUCGCCUGGAACUCAAAGCUGGCGAGGCAGGGCAACAGGUGGGUACUUGAACUGCAAGCUGCAGAAACUGGAUUUAGGAAUUCAAAUGAAAACAAUUGUUUGAAAGGAUAUACUGAAAGGUUGGGGAAUUAAGGGAGGCCUGAAGGAAAAAAAAACCGUAGAAGCCAGUAGCCACGACCUCUGGACAUUAACCCCGGGACGCUGAGCUGUCGCUGCUUGGACUGUGUCCAGAGUAGAGGAUCUGAUUAAUGGGAUGUAGGUGUCAGGAAAUUCUUCACGUUGGAGUCGGCUUUGCAGGAUGAAUAGAAGUUGGCCAAAGGGAGAAGAAUGGGGCUUCCACAUAAGAGGAGCAGGGGGACAGGGCCGGGAUCUGGGGGCCACAGUAUGCCAGGUGCUCCCCUGGUCAUCUUACUCAGUGCUCACAAACCCUACUACCUAGGUGCCGUUAAUUUUUUGGGGAAAUGAUUUUAUCUUCUUCAUAAAAUUGCUAAAUGCCUUUCUAAAGAAUUCAAGCUAGAUAGCAAAAUGCUGCAGAAAUUGGGGGUGGGGGUAGGGGUAAUCAUAGCAAAUUCUAGUACCCCAAAUGUCCAAGAUUAAUAUUAGCAACAUCAUCUCAGAUAUCAUUGUAGGCCUAUAUAUGGCAGGAGGCAAGAAGGAGAAAAAACUGGAGGGAGAUUGGAUGGAAGGGAGGGAGGGCAAAAGGAAUCAGAAUUCUGUGAAGGGGGAAUCCCACUAUUUGCUAAAUUUUAAAAUAUAUUAAGCUUAUUAUACUUGAAUUUAACAAAAUAAUUUAAAUAAAAGCAGUUGCUAAUUUGAUUGUUUGCUAUCAUAACAGAUAUUUCCUCCAAGAUUCCCCCCCACCCCAAGAUUAUGAAGAACAUUGAGAAGUUGGGGGUCAUUGAUUCUCUUUAAGUUACGCGUUUGCUCUUGGCUCAGUUUUUCCCUUCUAUGAAAGUGAAGUUGCUCAGUCAUGUACAACUCUUUGUGAUCCCAUUGACUGUACUCUACCAGGCUCCUCCAUCCAUGGCAUUUUCCAGUCUGCCACCCUUCUCAAGAUGGUGGCCAGAGGUCAGCAGAGAAAGGGGAAUCCAAGGAACCAGGAGCCUGGAGACUUGCACCCGUGUCUCCCUGGCCAGAACAGAGUUCUGUGGACGAUGCUGGGAAAUGUAGCUUUUUAGUCAAAAGAUGGAAGCUUCAUCUUCAAUGCUCCUCCUGUUCCUGGCACUCUGGCCUGGACAUGAAGUCUCACAGAGAAAACCACUGGCUGCAGACUCCUCAUGGCAAAGCAGGCGUCAGGUCUUAUAUGAGCCUCUGGAAGAUGCGCUAGGCUUGCCCAAACUGCUCAGCACACAGACGGGAAGGAUGGAGUCCAGAAGGGACAAACGGGAUUCCGGUACCUCCAAGCCCCCCAUCCCCUCCCACGCACUGGAGUGUGCAAUGGCCUUGCAAUGCCUUUAACCCCGAGGUCAGUGGAAAAUCCCAUGUGAGGCUCCACCUAUGGGCUCACAAGCCAUGGCAGUCCUCAGAAACAAUCCGGGAGCGUUUCUUGAGCUUGAGAAGGCUGGCUGUGCGCUCCUCCCCUCCACCAAAUGUCCGCUUGACCAAUGUUUGCUACGGGCAUGCCUCGCUGUAGUGCGGUUCAAAGAUUUAUUUUUAUUUUUUUACAAAUUGAAGGUUUGUGGCAACCCUCUGUUCAGUAAAUCUAUCAACACCCAUUUUUCCAAUGGCAUUUGCUCGCUUUGGGUCUCUGUGCUACAUUCUGGUAAUUCUCGA
ensembl:lncRNA